GGCGGAGUAGCUCAGUUGGUGAGAGCGCAGGAUUCAUAACCCUGAGGUCGGCGGUUCAAAUCCGCCCUCCGCUA
rnacentral:tRNA from 1 species